AUUGAACGCUGGCGGCAUGCCUUACACAUGCAAGUCGAACGGCAGCACGGGUGCUUGCACCUGGUGGCGAGUGGCGAACGGGUGAGUAAUACAUCGGAACAUGUCCUGUAGUGGGGGAUAGCCCGGCGAAAGCCGGAUUAAUACCGCAUACGAUCCACGGAUGAAAGCGGGGGACCUUCGGGCCUCGCGCUAUAGGGUUGGCCGAUGGCUGAUUAGCUAGUUGGUGGGGUAAAGGCCUACCAAGGCGACGAUCAGUAGCUGGUCUGAGAGGACGACCAGCAACACUGGGACGGAGACACGGCCCAGACUCCUACGGGAGGCAGCAGUGUGGAAUUUUGGACAAGGGGCGAAAGCCUGAUCCAGCAAUGCCGCGUGUGUGAAGAAGGCCUUCGGGUUGUAAAGCACCUUUGUCCGGAAAGAAAUCCUUGACUCUAAUACAGUCGGGGGAUGACGGUACCGGAAGAAUAAGCACCGGCUAACUACGUG
rnacentral:rRNA from 1 species